GCCUGGGUGGCUCAGUCAGUUAAGUGUCUGACUUGAGGUCGUGAUCUCACAGUUUGUGGGUUCAAGCCCCACAUCAGGCU
rnacentral:tRNA from 1 species